rnacentral:lncRNA from 1 species
AGAAUAUUCAUAGAAAAUUAAUUUUGUUUACAUACUGGUUCCCAGUUAUGCUCUCUGUGUUCCAUCUCAUAGAGACAUAACUUGGGAAUGUUACCAGUAAAUAUACAUGUGCAUAUUGUUUACAUUGAAAUCUUUGGUAACCCUUCAUUCGAGGUAGGGGUAGUUAAGAAAAUUAGUGUUAGUUUAAACUCUGAAAAGUUCAGGGCAUAUAAACGUUGAAAAUAUGCCGCACAGUCCUAUAUUUUGACCUUUGAAAAAAAUUGUAGUGCAUAUGAACUUUCAAUUCUAGGAUAAGAUUUUUUUCAAAACUUCAUAGUAAAAGUGGUACAGUUUUAGCCGU